GCAAACUUGGUCAUUUAGAGGAAGUAAAAGUCGUAACAAGGUUUCCGUAGGUGAACCUGCGGAAGGAUCAUUAACGUGCUACGGAGGUCUCUUCGAAGGGGGGGAUCUACGUCUGCCCACCCUUGAUUACCUGACCUGUUGCUUUGGCGGGCUUGCCGUGAGGCGGCCUGAAAAAAAAGUCCGCCAGAGUUUCAUUAAAUUCUGGAUAGAAAGGUUGUGCUGGUCUGAGCGUGCAAGCGCAAAAUCUAUACAAAACUUUCAACAACGGAUCUCUUGGUUCUGGCAUCGAUGAAGAACGCAGC
rnacentral:misc_RNA from 1 species